UACGGAGGAUGCAAGCGUUAUCCGGAUUCAUUGGGUUUAAAGGGUGCGUAGGCGGGCUAUUAAGUCAGUGGUGAAAUCCUGCAGCUUAACUGCAGAACUGCCGUUGAUACUGAUAGUCUUGAGUUUGGUUAAGGUAGGCGGAAUGUGUAAUGUAGCAGUGAAAUGCUUAGAUAUUACACAGAACACCAAUUGCGUAGGCAGCUUACUGAGCCGACACUGACGCUGAGGCACGAAAGCGUGGGGAUCAAACA
rnacentral:rRNA from 1 species